rnacentral:rRNA from 1 species
GCGUUAGCUGCAGCACUAAGGGGCGGAAACCCCCUAACACUUAGCACUCAUCGUUUACGGCGUGGACUACCAGGGUAUCUAAUCCUGUUUGAUCCCCACGCUUUCGCACAUCAGCGUCAGUUACAGACCAGAAAGUCGCCUUCGCCACUGGUGUUCCUCCAUAUCUCUGCGCAUUUCACCGCUACACAUGGAAUUCCACUUUCCUCUUCUGCACUCAAGUUUUCCAGUUUCCAAUGACCCUCCACGGUUGAGCCGUGGGCUUUCACAUCAGACUUAAAAAACCGCCUACGCGCGCUUUACGCCCAAUAAUUCCGGAUAACGCUUGCCACCUACGUAUUACCGCGGCUGCUGGCACGUAGUUAGCCGUGGCUUUCUGAUUAGGUACCGUCAAGAUGUGCACAGUUACUUACACAUAUGUUCUUCCCUAAUAACAGAGUUUUACGAUCCGAAGACCUUCAUCACUCACGCGGCGUUGCUCCGUCAGGCUUUCGCCCAUUGCGGAAGAUUCCCUACUGCUGCCUCCCGUAGGAGUCUGGACCGUGUCUCAGUUCCAGUGUGGCCGAUCACCCUCUCAGGUCGGCUAUGCAUCGUUGCCUUGGUAAGCCGUUACCUUACCAACUAGCUAAUGCAGCGCGGAUCCAUCUAUAAGUGACAGCAAGACCGUCUUUCACUUUUGAACCAUGCGGUUCAAAAUAUUAUCCGGUAUUAGCUCCGGUUUCCCGAAGUUAUCCCAGUCUUAUAGGUAGGUUAUCCACGUGUUACUCACCCGUCCGCCGCUAACAUCAGAGAAGCAAGCUUCUCGUCCGUUCGCUCGACUUGCAUGUAUUAGACACGCCGCCAGCGUUCAUCCUGAGCCAGGAUCAAACCCU